CUGCACUACAUUGCAUAUGACACCUUUUAUUGGCAUGCAUGGGAUGGAUGGGUGAAUGUGUGCAAGUGUUUGUUAUGAUUAUUAUGCCCUAAUGGGUUGGAAGAAAUUCAACUAACAGGUUCAAUUGUUUCACUUUCACCAUGGCCUGGAUCUGGGACAGGCAGAUCUGCCCCCUUGCAGGAUGCUUGCUGUUACCAUGCUCCAACUGAUUCACCAUUUGUGCCACCAUGCCCAAAACCCAGCGGCUGCUGAGUUCCCCUCUGCAGGGCCAGAAACUGCAAUGGAUUCAAGCUUCACACACACUGCCUGCUGCUGCAGCUCCCCUUUUAUAAUAAUGGGAAGCAAUGAUUAACAAUGUGAGGGCAAGCUUGCUUUAUCUUUCCAUCUAUGCAGUGCAGGCCACAGUGAAGUAUAAAUAUGCCCCUGCUCUAGCCAAUGGGACACAAAAGGAGAGCUUCUUCAGCUGAAUACACUGAACCUUCACAUGAAAAGGCCUGAAAUCUUUUUCCAUGACACGCACAGAUCUUGUCGUCCUCUAAAACCACACUUAUCCAACUAAACCACACUUUAUAUGUGUAUAAUCACAUGCUUUUUACAUAGUUUAUUAUCACUUCAAUUCGCUCCAGCCAAUGGUUGCAAAGAGACAGCUCUGUUUCUUUGCUAAGACAAUGAUGUCUUUGUUGUUAAUCAAGCUCCUUUUUUUCCCCCUUGGUACAGUGCAAUGGAAUCUAUGGAGAGCUCAGUUCUGGUAAGUGCACAGAAUGAGGGGGCAGACCAGUUAUCCCCUCCCCUCACUCUGGGCCUGCCUGCUGACAGCCUGCACAUGGCCUCAUGGGAUCAAAUCUCAUUGUUAAAGGCUUGCAAAUCUUGCAAACAUGGCUUGGCACACACUACUAUAGUGGUUUCCCUUAUUCCACUCCCAGCUGUUCCUAGAACUAAUCUGGGUUAACUGCUUGGAGGGCUUUUCAAAUGCUCACAGAUCAGGGAAAGGUUAGAGGCUAUGAGGACACAACCAUUGCUGCUUGUUCCUACCAUUUGAUCUGCAAAAUUUUCAGAAGUAACAAAUCUAAGAUGGAUGCCCUCCUCUACACUACAUCUACUGCAGUUUCCUUCAUCUCCAGCUCAUAGAAAUAGUUUCUUUCAUAUGACAUAUGAGUAAGCUAAGCAGUUGGCAAUUGGCAUGCAUGAACCUAAUCUCUCAUGCCUCUAAUUUAAAAGGCAGACCUUGGGACCAUGCAUUGGAUGUUGUGAACUGUAUCAGUAUUCUCUUGCUCUCCAUCAGAGAAGGUGAUUAACAAAACAGCAUGAGUUUCUCGCAGGGUAAACUAUUCAACUGGUGUAGUAAUUAAGUAGUAAUUUGCUUGGAUUUAACAACCAGAAUGAGGUGAGUGACAUGCACAGAGAGUAAGCAGCAGACCAGACAUCUCUGGGUGCAUCACAAACAGCAGCACCCUCUGCUCCCAGAUUUGGUAGUAUAUCACCACUUGUGCUAUCCACUGAAUAAGCUGUGGAGGCAAACUGAAGCGCGCACACCCAUCUAUACAUGAUUCCCCUGUGUGCACCUCU
rnacentral:lncRNA from 1 species